AUACUUCUCCUGAUCAAAUUCGUCCAUUACGUGGACACAUAUCUAGCUGAAGGUGUUAUGCCGUUGAUUGAAGCAGAAUAUGAACUCUCCAUUGACAAAGUUGCGAGAGUAGAAACAGGUUUUGCUAUUGUUUUUGCCUUGGUCAAUCCAUUCUUUGGACAUCUAUCAGAUCAGAUCAGCCAGUGGACCCUCAUGUGUCUGGGAGUAACGUAUUGGAC